AACGAACGCUGGCGGCAGGCUUAACACAUGCAAGUCGAACGCAUCGCAAGAUGAGUGGCAGACGGGUGAGUAACGCGUGGGAAUCUACCCAUCUCUGCGGAAUAGCCCUGGGAAACUGGAAUUAAUACCGCAUACGCCCUACGGGGGAAAGAUUUAAAGGGGAUGGAUGAGCUCGCGUUGGAGUAGCUAGUUGGUGGGGUAAAAGCCUACCAAGGCGACGAUCCAUAGCUGGUCUGAGAGGAUGAUCAGCCACAUUGGGACUGAGACACGGCCCAGACUCCUACGGGAGGCAGCAGUGGGGAAUAUUGGACAAUGGGCGCAAGCCUGAUCCAGCCAUGCCGCGUGAGUGAUGAAGGCCUUAGGGUUGGAAAGCUCGUUCACCGAUGAAGAUAAUGACGGUAGUCGGAGAAGAAGCCCCGGCUAACUUCGUGCCAGCCGCCGCCGUAA
rnacentral:rRNA from 1 species